rnacentral:rRNA from 1 species
UACGUACCGUACGAACGUUAUUCGGAAUUACUGGGCUUAAAGGGUUUGUAGGCGGCCUUGUAAGUCAGGUGUGAAAUCCCUCGGCUCAACCGAGGAAUAGCGCUUGAUACUGCAAGGCUUGAGGGAGACAGGGGUAAGCGGAACUGAUGGUGGAGCGGUGAAAUGCGUUGAUAUCAUCAGGAACACCGGUGGCGAAAGCGGCUUACUGGGUCUCUUCUGACGCUGAGGAACGAAAGCUAGGGUAGCGAACGGG